CUACGGGAGGCAGCAGUGGGGAAAUUGCACAAUGGAGGAAACUCUGAUGCAGCAACGCCGCGUGGAGGAUGACGCACUUCGGUGUGUAAACUCCUUUUAUAGGGGAAGAUAAUGACGGUACCCUAUGAAUAAGCACCGGCUAACUCCGUGCCAGCAGCCGCGGUAAUACGGAGGGUGCAAGCGUUACUCGGAAUCACUGGGCGUAAAGGAUGCGUAGGCUGGAAAUCAAGUCGAAAGUGAAAUCCAACGGCUCAACCGUUGAACUGCUUUCGAAACUGGUUACCUAGAAUAUGGGAGAGGUAGAUGGAAUUAGUGGUGUAGGGGUAAAAUCCGUAGAUAUCACUAGGAAUACCGAUUGCGAAGGCGAUCUACUGGAACAUUAUUGACGCUGAGGCAUGAAAGCGUGGGGGAGCAAACAGGAUUAGAUACCCUGGUAGUCACGCCCUAAACGAUGCACACUAGUUGUUGCGAUGCUAGUCAUUGCAGUAAUGCACUUAACAGAUUAAGUGUGCCGCCUGGGGAGUACGGUCGCAAGAUUAAAACUCAAAGGAAUAGACGGGGACCCGCACAAGCGGUGGAGCAUGUGGUUAAAUUCGAAGAUACACGAAGAACCUUACCUGGGCUUGAUAUCCUAAGAAUCCUGUAGAGAUACGGGAGUGCUAGUUUACUAGAACUUAGAGACAGGUGCUGCACGGCUGUCGUCAGCUCGUGUCGUGAGAUGUUGGGUUAAGUCCCGCAACGAGCGCAACCCUCGUGAUUAGUUGCUAACAGUUCGGCUGAGCACUCUAAUCAGACUGCCUUCGUAAGGAGGAGGAAGGUGAGGACGACGUCAAGUCAUCAUGGCCCUUAUGCCCAGGGCUACACACGUGCUACAAUGGCUAGGACAAAGAGACGCGAUACUGCGAAGUGGAGCAAAUCUUAAAACCUAGUCUCAGUUCGGAUUGGAGUCUGCAACUCGACUCCAUGAAGCUGGAAUCGCUAGUAAUCGUAGAUCAGAUAUGCUACGGUGAAUACGUUCCCGGGCCUUGUACACACCGCC
rnacentral:rRNA from 1 species